ACAUGCAAGUCGAGCGAGGACGGUAGCGAAUACCGAGCCGAGCGGCGAACGGGUGAGUAACGCGUAAGCAAUCUGCCCCACAAUCGGGAACAACCGUGCCAACGCGCGGCUAAUGCCGGAUAUUGUAGUCUACUGCAUAGUAGGCCAACGAAAGAUUUAUGUGUGGGAUGAGCUUGCGUCCGAUUAGCUAGUUGGCGGGGUAAUAGCCCACCAAGGCGACGAUCGGUAGCCGGCCUGAGAGGGUGAUCGGCCACAUUGGGACUGAGAUACGGCCCAGACUCCUACGGGAGGCAGCAGUAGGGAAUAUUGCGCAAUGGGGGGAACCCUGACGCAAGGCAACGCCACGUGUGGGAAGAAGCAUUUCGGUGUGUAAACCACUGUCGGAAAGGAAUAACGGAAGACUUCGGUCUUUAUGAAUGUACUUUUAGAGGAAGCACCGGCAAACUUCGUGCCAGCCGCCGC
rnacentral:rRNA from 1 species